rnacentral:rRNA from 1 species
UAGGGAAUAUUAGUAAUGGGCGCAAGCCUGAACUAGCAACGCCGCGUGUGCGAAGAAGGCCUUCGGGUUGUAAAGCACUAUUUGAGAGGAUGAGGAAGGACGGUACUCUCAGAAUAAGUCUCGGCUAACUACGUGCCAGCAGCCGCGGUAACACGUAGGAGGCGAACGUUAUCCGGAUUUACUGGGUGUAAAGCGCGUGUAGGUGGUUUGGUAAGUAGGGCGUGAAAGCUCCUGGCUCAACUGGGAGAGGCCGUUCUAAACUGCCGAACUAGAGGAUGGUAGAGGGAGGUGGAAUUCCGGGUGUAGCGGUGGAAUGCGCAGAUAUCCGGAGGAACACCAGUGGCGAAAGCGGCCUCCUGGACCAUUCCUGACACUCAGACGCGAAAGCUAGGGUAGCAAACGG